GGGUUGUGAGGUUAAGCGACUAAGCGUACACGGUGGAUGCCCUGGCAGUCAGAGGCGAUGAAGGACGUGCUAAUCUGCGAUAAGCGUCGGUAAGGUGAUAUGAACCGUUAUAACCGGCGAUUUCCGAAUGGGGAAACCCAGUGUGUUUCGACACACUAUCAUUAACUGAAUCCAUAGGUUAAUGAGGCGAACCGGGGGAACUGAAACAUCUAAGUACCCCGAGGAAAAGAAAUCAACCGAGAUUCCCCCAGUAGCGGCGAGCGAACGGGGAGCAGCCCAGAGUCUGAAUCAGUGUGUGUGUUAGUGGAAGCGUCUGGAAAGGCGCGCGAUACAGGGUGACAGCCCCGUACACAAAAAUGCACAUAUUGUGAGCUCGAUGAGUAGGGCGGGACACGUGGUAUCCUGUCUGAAUAUGGGGGGACCAUCCUCCAAGGCUAAAUACUCCUGACUGACCGAUAGUGAACCAGUACCGUGAGGGAAAGGCGAAAAGAACCCCGGCGAGGGGAGUGAAAAAGAACCUGAAACCGUGUACGUACAAGCAGUGGGAGCACAGAGCAAUCUGUGUGACUGCGUACCUUUUGUAUAAUGGGUCAGCGACUUAUAUUCUGUAGCAAGGUUAACCGAAUAGGGGAGCCGAAGGGAAACCGAGUCUUAACUGGGCGUUAAGUUGCAGGGUAUAGACCCGAAACCCGGUGAUCUAGCCAUGGGCAGGUUGAAGGUUGGGUAACACUAACUGGAGGACCGAACCGACUAAUGUUGAAAAAUUAGCGGAUGACUUGUGGCUGGGGGUGAAAGGCCAAUCAAACCGGGAGAUAGCUGGUUCUCCCCGAAAGCUAUUUAGGUAGCGCCUCGUGAAUUCAUCUCCGGGGGUAGAGCACUGUUUCGGCAAGGGGGUCAUCCCGACUUACCAACCCGAUGCAAACUGCGAAUACCGGAGAAUGUUAUCACGGGAGACACACGGCGGGUGCUAACGUCCGUCGUGAAGAGGGAAACAACCCAGACCGCCAGCUAAGGUCCCAAAGUCAUGGUUAAGUGGGAAACGAUGUGGGAAGGCCCAGACAGCCAGGAUGUUGGCUUAGAAGCAGCCAUCAUUUAAAGAAAGCGUAAUAGCUCACUGGUCGAGUCGGCCUGCGCGGAAGAUGUAACGGGGCUAAACCAUGCACCGAAGCUGCGGCAGCGACGCUUAUGCGUUGUUGGGUAGGGGAGCGUUCUGUAAGCCUGUGAAGGUGUGCUGUGAGGCAUGCUGGAGGUAUCAGAAGUGCGAAUGCUGACAUAAGUAACGAUAAAGCGGGUGAAAAGCCCGCUCGCCGGAAGACCAAGGGUUCCUGUCCAACGUUAAUCGGGGCAGGGUGAGUCGACCCCUAAGGCGAGGCCGAAAGGCGUAGUCGAUGGGAAACAGGUUAAUAUUCCUGUACUUGGUGUUACUGCGAAGGGGGGACGGAGAAGGCUAUGUUGGCCGGGCGACGGUUGUCCCGGUUUAAGCGUGUAGGCUGGUUUUCCAGGCAAAUCCGGAAAAUCAAGGCUGAGGCGUGAUGACGAGGCACUACGGUGCUGAAGCAACAAAUGCCCUGCUUCCAGGAAAAGCCUCUAAGCAUCAGGUAACAUCAAAUCGUACCCCAAACCGACACAGGUGGUCAGGUAGAGAAUACCAAGGCGCUUGAGAGAACUCGGGUGAAGGAACUAGGCAAAAUGGUGCCGUAACUUCGGGAGAAGGCACGCUGAUAUGUAGGUGAAGCGACUUGCUCGUGGAGCUGAAAUCAGUCGAAGAUACCAGCUGGCUGCAACUGUUUAUUAAAAACACAGCACUGUGCAAACACGAAAGUGGACGUAUACGGUGUGACGCCUGCCCGGUGCCGGAAGGUUAAUUGAUGGGGUCAGCGCAAGCGAAGCUCUUGAUCGAAGCCCCGGUAAACGGCGGCCGUAACUAUAACGGUCCUAAGGUAGCGAAAUUCCUUGUCGGGUAAGUUCCGACCUGCACGAAUGGCGUAAUGAUGGCCAGGCUGUCUCCACCCGAGACUCAGUGAAAUUGAACUCGCUGUGAAGAUGCAGUGUACCCGCGGCAAGACGGAAAGACCCCGUGAACCUUUACUAUAGCUUGACACUGAACAUUGAGCCUUGAUGUGUAGGAUAGGUGGGAGGCUUUGAAGUGUGGACGCCAGUCUGCAUGGAGCCGACCUUGAAAUACCACCCUUUAAUGUUUGAUGUUCUAACGUUGACCCGUAAUCCGGGUUGCGGACAGUGUCUGGUGGGUAGUUUGACUGGGGCGGUCUCCUCCUAAAGAGUAACGGAGGAGCACGAAGGUUGGCUAAUCCUGGUCGGACAUCAGGAGGUUAGUGCAAUGGCAUAAGCCAGCUUGACUGCGAGCGUGACGGCGCGAGCAGGUGCGAAAGCAGGUCAUAGUGAUCCGGUGGUUCUGAAUGGAAGGGCCAUCGCUCAACGGAUAAAAGGUACUCCGGGGAUAACAGGCUGAUACCGCCCAAGAGUUCAUAUCGACGGCGGUGUUUGGCACCUCGAUGUCGGCUCAUCACAUCCUGGGGCUGAAGUAGGUCCCAAGGGUAUGGCUGUUCGCCAUUUAAAGUGGUACGCGAGCUGGGUUUAGAACGUCGUGAGACAGUUCGGUCCCUAUCUGCCGUGGGCGCUGGAGAACUGAGGGGGGCUGCUCCUAGUACGAGAGGACCGGAGUGGACGCAUCACUGGUGUUCGGGUUGUCAUGCCAAUGGCACUGCCCGGUAGCUAAAUGCGGAAGAGAUAAGUGCUGAAAGCAUCUAAGCACGAAACUUGCCCCGAGAUGAGUUCUCCCUGACUCCUUGAGAGUCCUGAAGGAACGUUGAAGACGACGACGUUGAUAGGCCGGGUGUGUAAGCGCAGCGAUGCGUUGAGCUAACCGGUACUAAUGAACCGUGAGGCUUAACCUUACAACGCCGAAGGUGUUU
rnacentral:rRNA from 1 species